GUGGCUGGUGCCACUUUCCACUUGUACUGAAGCACAGAACAGGCAGCUCAUUUACCUGCUGUGACUACAAAUAUUCCUCUGCACGCUGGAGAAGGUGUUGGGAGAUGCCAGGCGUGAGAGGUCUGUCAGAAAGAGGCUCUUCCCCUGGUUAAAUGGAUCAGAAACUCCUGGGACAGGGAGUGCCAGGAAAGUCUGGUUUGUAAACAUGACAGAGUGAAGAUUUCACCUUGGGUUUGGAGACCAUGGUGAGGUCCAGGCUAUGGGAGAUGGGCUUCCCAGGCACAUCCAUGCUGGGUAUCAGGAGGAAUUUUUUCAUGGAAAGGGCUGCCCAGGGAGGUUUGGAGUCCCCAUCUCUGGAGGUGUACUAGGAAGGCCUGGAUGUAGCACUCAGUGCCCUGGGCUGGGGACAAGGUGGGGAUUUGGCACAGCUUGGACUCGAUCCUGGAGGGCUUUUCCAACCUCAGUGAUCCAGUGAUCACAGCUCUGCCUCCUUUCCAAGCUCUCUCUCUUUGUUUAUAGCUCUUCUAGAACUAACAAUUGGAAUUCUUCCCUGCUUCACAUGCAAAUUCCAUGGGGUUUCCAAAGUAUUUUCUUUAUUUACAUUCCCUGUGUUUCCUUGGAAAACAGCUCCCACAGAAGCAGAAAAGAGUCCUUUCCAGCCUCAGGCAUCACCAUUCUGUGCUGCAGUGAGCAGAGGAAGCUAAUGACACAAGUCCUACACAGAUAAAGAUAAAAAGAGUAUAAAAUAAAAUAAAAAAUAAUAUAUUAUUGAGUCUAAAAGUUAUUUCCAGAGUUCUUAUGCACGGUCUCUAAAGUAUUUGCAUAUUUGUAGAAAUUUUAGGAAACCCGAUGUUUCCAAGAGCUUUGAUUUUGUUUUAUUACUCCUGUAUUUGCAGAUCAUUUCAGACCACACUGGUAAUGCUUUUGCUGUUGUGAUGUUAUCAAUUCUGGUUUGUUUUCCCUCGGCCUUGCUGCUGCUCUCAUCUGCAUGUGAUGAUCCAGGGCAAGACUUGAGGGAAUCCAGGGAAGACCGUGCUGGAAUAGCUUCCAUCUUCUCCUCACACACCAGAAACCUGAUCCUCUGACAAAAGAGCUGAAAUUGUUCCCAACGCCUGAUCCCAUUGCUGGGUGGUGCUGGACCUGUUUUGGCUGUCUCCAAAGCACUGGCUCAAGUCAGCUCAGGAGGAUUCUGUCUUGCUUCAGUGCAGAGUGCCCUCCUGAGAUCAGGAUGCUUCAGUGGGAGUCCUGCGAGUGUCCAAAAGCAAACCUGCAGGGUGGGAAAGGUCUGCCCCAGCUCCUGUCAGUGCUCCAUCCUACUCUUCUGCCUGCUGAAAUAAAGGGAUAAAUCUGAUUUGUUUGUUCAGCUAGUGAAUAGAGGCCCAAAAUUGAUUAGAUGCUUAAUUAUCACUGAAGUUACUGGCUUGGUCACUGGUGUCAUCUGAGCUGGGGAAUUGGGCUUUGAGAGCUGUGGAGCCUGGGAAGGGUCUGCAGUGUGAUCUGUUCCCCAUCACUGUGCAAGGAUAAACCAGGAGAGAAUAAACCUGGAGUUUGAAGCCAGGAGAAUGAGCUCAGUCACUUGUGGUAGGGUUCCCUGGGGACACUGAUGACUAUGGGGUCCCAUUGUCACAUCCCAGGUGAUGUUUGACUCCCUAAGUCCACUGAGCUCAGCCUCUGGCUUUCCUUCAGUAAAAUGGGGAUGAAUCCUGCUUCCCAAGGCCUGGGAAUUAGAUGGAUUAGAAAUCCAUCUUCAUGGCAUC